rnacentral:rRNA from 1 species
UACGGGGGGAGCAAGCGUUGUUCGGAUUUACUGGGCGUAAAGGGCGCGUAGGCGGCCACCGCAAGUCAGUUGUGAAAUCUCUGGGCUUAACCCAGAACGGUCAGCUGAUACUGCGGGGGCUAGAGUGCAGAAGGGGCAACUGGAAUUCUCGGUGUAGCGGUGAAAUGCGUAGAUAUCGAGAGGAACACCUGCGGCGAAGGCGGGUUGCUGGGGCUGACACUGACGCUGACAGCGCGAAAAGCUAGGGGGGAGCGAGCGGGG